CUAAAGGUUAUGACGGGAAAGAGUAGAUUUGGUAGUAUUUGCCCAGAGAGCGGGGGGAAGGUGCGAGCCCUGCCAAAGAACCCAUUUUGAACAUGGUCCCAGAACCGAAGGCUGAAAUUUAUUUAAGAGUAGGCUAUUACGGGUAAGCUCCGUUAUGCAGCUUCGGGUAUGACUGUACCUGGUAGAGGCUUUUACUUUAAGUAAAAGUAAAAUUGGGUGGUACCACGAAGGUGUUCCUCUCGUCCCAUUA
rnacentral:ncRNA from 1 species